UACGGGGGGGGCAAGCGUUGUUCGGAAUUACUGGGCGUAAAGGGUUCGUAGGUGGCGUGCUAAGUCAGACGUGAAAUCCCUCAGCUUAACUGGGGAACUGCGUCUGAGACUGGCAGGCUCGAGUGCAGGAGAGGAACGCGGAAUUCCAGGUGUAGCGGUGAAAUGCGUAGAUAUCUGGAGGAACACCAGUAGCGAAGGCGACUUCCUGGCCUGUUCUUGACGCUGAGGCGCGAAAGCUAGGGUAGCAAACGGG
rnacentral:rRNA from 1 species